GUGGGGAAUCUUCCGCAAUGGACGAAAGUCUGACGGAGCGACGCCGCGUGAGUGAAGAAGGCCUUCGGGUCGUAAAGCUCUGUCAUCAGGGACGAACGGCCGGUGGAGUGGAAAGCCACCGGAUUGACGGUACCUGAGAAGGAAGCCACGGCUAACUACGUGCCAGCAGCCGCGGUAAUACGUAGGUGGCAAGCGUUGUCCGGAAUUAUUGGGCGUAAAGCGCGCGCAGGUGGGAUCUUAAGUCCAUUUUUAAAGUUCGGAGCUCAACUCCGUGAUGGGAUGGAAACUGGGAUUCUUGAGUACCGGAGAGGAAAGCGGAAUUCCCCGUGUAGCGGUGAAAUGCGUAGAUAUGGGGAGGAACACCAGUGGCGAAGGCGGCUUCCUGGCACAAUACUGACGCUCAUGUGCGAAAGCUAGGGCAGCGAACGGGAUUAGAAACCCCAUAGUCC
rnacentral:rRNA from 1 species